GUCAGAGCCACACAGGAAGGUCCCCUCUGACCCUGGCAGGCCGGCAGGCCAAAUCUGGACACUCCUGGGAAUGGCCCAGUGACAGACCAUUGUCGGGCCUUGUUACCAGACCAGGAGAAGAGCAGCUGGCCAAAGGAGAGAGAGUGAAGAGAAAGUGCUGCAUGCCAACAGAGGAAGGGAAGGAACGAGCUGAGUUCCAGAGAAGUCACACGGCCAGAAUGCCCUCUCUGGGCCAGGCUUGGUGCCGACCAUGAGGAUUCCGUGGAAGCCACAACAGACAGGGCUCCUGCUGUCGAGGUGUUUAAGUGAUGCCAAGACCAUUCCCUAAGAGGGAGGAUGGCCUUUUCAACGAACGGUGCUGGGGCAGCUGGAUAUCCACGUGUAGAGGAAUGAAGUUGAUCCCCUAUCUCACACCAUACACACAAAUUACCUUAAAAUGGAUCG